rnacentral:piRNA from 1 species
CUGGGGGCUUGAGGCUAAGGUAGAU